UGGGGAUAUUGCACAAUGGGCGAAAGCCUGAUGCAGCAACGCCGCGUGAGUGAUGAAGGCCUUCGGGUUGUAAAGCUCUGUCUUUUGGGACGAUAAUGACGGUACCAAAGGAGGAAGCCACGGCUAACUACGUGCCAGCAGCCGCGGUAAUACGUAGGUGGCAAGCGUUGUCCGGAUUUACUGGGCGUAAAGGAUGCGUAGGCGGAUUUUUAAGUGAGAUGUGAAAACCCUAAGCUUAACUUGGGGACUGCAUUUCAUACUGGAAAUCUAGAGUGCGGGAGAGGAGAAUGGAAUUCCUAGUGUAGCGGUGAAAUGCGUAGAGAUUAGGAAGAACACCAGUGGCGAAGGCGAUUCUCUGGACCGUAACUGACGCUGAGGCAUGAAAGCGUGGGUAGCAAACAGGAUUAGAUACCCUGGUAGUCCACGCCGUAAACGAUGAGUACUAGGUGUAGGAGGUAUCGACCCCUUCUGUGCCGCAGUUAACACAAUAAGUACUCCGCCUGGGAAGUACGAUCGCAAGAUUAAAACUUAAAUGAAUUGACGGGGUCAUAGCUGUUUCCU
rnacentral:rRNA from 1 species